GCCAGGGGUAGCUCAACUGGUGGAGCAGGAAACUCUUAAUCUUAGGGUUGUGGGUUUGAAUCCCACGUUGGGCG